GUAAGGCGCUAGGGGUGCCAAUGGCUGAGAGGCGAAAUCAACGUUUUGCCAACCCUUCAGAACUCGAUCUGGGUCAUACCAGCGGGAGGAAGUGCCGUAUACCGGAG
rnacentral:ncRNA from 2 species